rnacentral:piRNA from 1 species
UAAUGUUAUCCCCUACCCUCCAGUGA